GACGAACGCUGGCGGCGUGCUUAACACAUGCAAGUCGAACGGAAAGGCCCUGCUUUUGUGGGGUGCUCGAGUGGCGAACGGGUGAGUAACACGUGAGUAACCUGCCCUUGACUUUGGGAUAACUUCAGGAAACUGGGGCUAAUACCGGAUAGGAGCUCCUGCUGCAUGGUGGGGGUUGGAAAGUUUCGGCGGUUGGGGAUGGACUCGCGGCUUAUCAGCUUGUUGGUGGGGUAGUGGCUUACCAAGGCUUUGACGGGUAGCCGGCCUGAGAGGGUGACCGGCCACAAUGGGACUGAGAUACGGCCCAGACGCCUACGGGAGGCAGCAGGGGGGAAUAUGGCACAAUGGGCGGAAGCCUGAUGCAGCAACGCCGCGUGCGGGGUGACGGCCUUCGGGUUGUAAACCGCUUUCGCCUGUGACGAAGCGUGAGUGACGGUAAUGGGUAAAGAAGCACCGGCUAACUACGUG
rnacentral:rRNA from 1 species